UACGGGGGGAGCAAGCGUUGUUCGGAUUUACUGGGCGUAAAGGGCGCGUAGGCGGCCAGCACAAGUCAGUUGUGAAAUCUCCGAGCUUAACUCGGAACGGUCAACUGAUACUGUGCGGCUAGAGUGCGGAAGGGGCAACUGGAAUUCUUGGUGUAGCGGUGAAAUGCGUAGAUAUGCGGAGGAACACCGAUGGCGAAGGCAAUCCCCUGGGCCUGCACUGACGCUCAUGCACGAAAGCGUGGGGAGCAAACAGG
rnacentral:rRNA from 1 species